UACGUAGGGGGCAAGCGUUGUCCGGAUUUAUUGGGCGUAAAGAGCGUGUAGGCGGCCAGGUAGGUCUGCUGUGAAAACUCGAGGCUCAACCUCGAGACGUCGGCGGAAACCAUCUGGCUAGAGUCCGGAAGAGGAGAGUGGAAUUCCUGGUGUAGCGGUGAAAUGCGCAGAUAUCAGGAGGAAUACCGGUGGCGAAGGCGGCAUCCUGGACCGAGAUUGACACUGAUGAGCGCAAGCUAGGGGAGCAAACGGG
rnacentral:rRNA from 1 species